rnacentral:lncRNA from 1 species
GAUAUGUUUCCUAUAGAGAGUCGAAAGUUUCUAGUUAGAUUUUGUAAUCAGACUUAACCAAUUUGUUUAGGGGUUUCAUUUUUAAACAAAUUAGGCUCCCACUAUUUUUUCAGAUCCCUACACUCCCUUGGUAGAGAUGUAAAAAUCUCCGUGAUCAGUGAUUUUUAGUGGGUGGUGCGGUCUCACUGACUAGCUCAUCACUUUGUUGGGAAUAGUGUCCCAAAGCCAAUCAUCAGCCUGUUGACGGUUGUGCUCCUUUUGCAUUAGUAUAUAAAUUAUAAAUAAAUAAAAGUUAUUUUGAUAUUUUUCAUCAUAAAUUAUUUCAUCUUCUAAUGAACUCCUGUAUUGUGGUGAAGUCCUUAGGACUAUUUAGACUCGACAAAGGAGGAUUUGUCGUUUAGUCUUUAAACCUGUUCGUGAUCAAAUGAUACGUUGUUACCAAGAACAACAAUGUUUAUCGAGCAUAGGUCGUUGUAUACCAUAUAGGUUGGUUGUCCUCUUAAUCAAGGAGUGUGGAGACACUGGUAUGGCAUAUAAGUGAGAUGUAAGGGUACAUCUACACUGAAUGUGACUGACUCUGGAACUAUCUCUGCUGCCAAGAUUUGCUUCGAUGGGAUAUGGAUAUAAAUAUCCUUCUGACCUGAGACUGCCACGGUGACUUGCAAGCAACUCACUGCACUUAGGCACUGGACUACCUGAAUUUCUAAUUCAUUGACGGAAGGAUGCUGGGUGUAGUCAAGUACUUGACUUGUCGGUGCGUGUGUCAAGAUGGGAUUGACCACUCCAGUUCAGGAGCUGUGUACAGUCGUGUUUCAAUUUAGCAAAACUUUGGCCAGGGUAGUCCUAGUGAGGAGUCACAGGACUGUU